GUGUCAGCAGCCGCGGUAAUACGGAGGAGGCAAGCGUUAUCCGGAUUUAUUGGGCGUAAAGCGUCCGCAGGUGGUUUAGCAAGUCUGCUGUCAAAGCGCGAAGCUCAACUUCGUAUAGGCCGUGGAAACUGCUGAACUUGAGUGUGAUAGGGGCAGAGGGAAUUCCCAGUGUAGCGGUGAAAUGCGUAGAGAUUGGGAAGAACACCGGUGGCGAAAGCGCUCUGCUGGGUCAUAACUGACACUGAGGGACGAAAGCUAGGGGAGCGAAAGGGAUUAGAUACCCCUGUAGUCCUAGCCGUAAACGAUGGGUACUAGGCGUUGACCGUAUCGACCCGGUCAGUGCCGGAGCUAACGCGUUAAGUACCCCGCCUGGGGAGUACGCUCGCAAGAGUGAAACUUAAAUGAAUUGGCGGGG
rnacentral:rRNA from 1 species